UACAGAGGGUGCGAGCGUUAAUCGGAAUUACUGGGCGUAAAGCGCACGUAGGCGGCUUGGUAUGUCGGGUGUGAAAUCCCCGGGCUCAACCUGGGAACUGCAUCCGAAACUGCCUUGCUCGAGUAUGGGAGAGGGAAGUGGAAUUUCCGGUGUAGCGGUGAAAUGCGUAGAUAUCGGAAGGAACAUCAAUGGCGAAAGCGACUUCCUGGACCCAGUACCGACGUUCAGGCACGAAAGCGUGGGGAGC
rnacentral:rRNA from 1 species